rnacentral:lncRNA from 1 species
AUGGAGAAAGGGGGGAUGAGAGAGAGGCAGCUUUCCACACCUCUGGGACACCUCUCCAGCGCCGAGAGACUGGGGCGACGGGCCCUCUCCCUGAAUGCAGAGACCCCCGACUCUGAACCGCCUCCAGCUUGCUGCAGGCCGAGGUUUUGUGGAUUCGAUGUUGGAAGGCUGAGGGUGGUGUCGAAAGAGUUCUCCUGGGGGAGGCCAUUCCAUGAGAAGUCACCCACAGCUCCCUCUUCUCUGUGUUCUUGGCGUUCCCAGCUCAGGGCCGUCUGGAAGGACCGCUGCUUUCUCAUCUGACGCGAUGAGCAGAUCUGCUCGGCCUUGCGCUCCAGGACAUGCAGGGAGCGUGAGCCAACAGGGAGUCUGAAUGAAAGCUGCGGGGGAACUCACAUAGGUCACAGACGCCCACAGACGGGCAAGGUCGGGGCAGCCAUGGGUGAGCACAGGGAGGCAGGCGGAGGCUGGAGCACAGGAGAAGCCCGCCCUGGGAGGCUGGGGGACAGAGCGAGAGUGAGCCUGAACGCGCAGCCCUCUUCCCUGCGCCGCGGCCCAAGCCUCCAGCCCACAGACGCGUCGGUGAAGUGCUUCAGUCCCAUCCAGGGAUUUCUGGAAUAGGAAUCGUGUGUCUCUUCCCACACCCACUAGGACUCUGCCUCAGGACCCAGUGCGUGUGUGAAAUAGCGAUGGGGAUGAUGAUAAUAUCACCCGACGUUUAUAUGGAAUUUUGCAAAACGCGUUCCCUCUCCGUAGCUCCCUUGGCCUGUGUGUUUGAAGACAGGCUGUGUGCACGCCCCACCUGCAGAGCUCUGGCCCGCAGAGUCGUCCCUCGCUCACGGCGACUCCCACCCCUGGGGCCUUGGAAUGAGCUCGACUCCCACGGGCUGGAGCCCUGACUCAACCCGCUCCACCUUCCAGGGACCCUGCCGGGAAGCACACCUCCAGGAGCUCCUUGAGCCAUGUGAUUUUGCUCUGAAAGAUUUCUUUAUUUUUGAAAAAAGAUUUUGAUAGCUCGGGAUUUCCUCUCAUGCUACUAUUUCUCUCCAUGAGGUAAAUCUGCAGAUCCUCAUUACUCAGAAAACGUGGCCCAGGGGCCGGCAACAUCGGCGUCAGCUUGGGUCUUCUGAAAAUGCAGACCCUCGAGCCCCCCUCGGACCUCCUGGCCUCCGCUUCUUAACGCAGCCCCAGGGACUGAGAUGAAUUAAAGCUGGAGACGCGCCCGAGUGACGGUCUGCACACAGAAGAAGAAUGCUCACCACACACAGGGAGAACGUUUGCAAGACUUCUUUGCUAAAUGCAG